AGGACGAACGCUGGCGGCGUGCUUAACACAUGCAGGUCGAGCGGUGAUCCUCCUUCGGGAGGUGAUCAGCGGCGAACGGGUGAGUAACACGUGGGCAACCUGCCCCUCACACUGGGAUAACCUCGGGAAACCGGGGCUAAUACCGGAUACGACCUCGAGCGGCAUCUCUUGAGGUGGAAAGCUCCGACGGUGAGGGAUGGGCCCGCGGCCUAUCAGCUUGUUGGUGGGGUAAUGGCCUACCAAGGCGACGACGGGUA
rnacentral:rRNA from 1 species